rnacentral:ncRNA from 1 species
UUCCUCGAAGAUUACGAGGUUGAUAGGCGAUAGGUGUAAGCGCGGUAACGCGUUGAGCCAAGUCGUACUAAUAAAGCGAAAUCUACUCAUC